AAGUCGUAACAAGGUUUCCGUAGGUGAACCUGCGGAAGGAUCAUUAACACGUAUCCAACGUUAAACCCCCCGUGCACACAGAGACCAGCUCCCCUCAAUUUCGGUCUUUUGGCAAUCUCUGGUAAAUCAUCGCCGAACAGUUUUGAUUCAGAGACCUCUGGGAAGGGUGUACGGUAGUGCGAGGCAAUUGACCUGGCAUUCCUCUGCUUGUUAGUGUCUGAAAGUGUCACUAGCUAUGUACGGAUGGCGCAGUAACGAUCGCUGGAGGCCGACACGGCCGGCGACCAGGUCACUGGGCUACGGCCCCCCUGAUCACAACCUUUGCAUGAAAACGGGCCUGCGCUGAGGUGCGGCCACCCCUAAUGCUUGAACAACUGUUAACAAUGGAUAUCUUGGUUCUC
rnacentral:misc_RNA from 1 species